AACGAACGCUGGCGGCGUGGAUAAGACAUGCAAGUCGAACGGGACUAAAUCUGUAGCAAUACAGGUUUAGUUUAGUGGCGAACGGGUGCGUAACACGUGGGCAAUCUGCCGAGAAGUGGGGGAUAGCUCGCCGAAAGGCGAAUUAAUACCGCAUAUGAUCAGCUAAGACAUCUUAGCGACAUCAAAGCCGGGGUAACCUGGCGCUUCUUGAUGAGCCCGCGGCCUAUCAGCUAGUUGGUGAGGUAACGGCUCACCAAGGCUAUGACGGGUAGCUGGUCUGAGAGGACGACCAGUCACACUGGAACUGAGACACGGUCCAGACACCUACGGGUGGCAGCAGUCGAGAAUUUUUCUC
rnacentral:rRNA from 1 species